UGCGAGUCGAAUGGCUCCGUCGGUAGAGCCUGAGCUUCUUCAUCUCAGAGUCCUGAGUUCGAGUCUCAAGUUGGGCAA